GACGAACGCUGGCGGCGUGCCUAAUACAUGCAAGUAGAACGCACAGUUUAUACCGUAGCUUGCUACACCAUAGACUGUGAGUUGCGAACGGGUGAGUAACGCGUAGGUAACCUGCCUGGUAGCGGGGGAUAACUAUUGGAAACGAUAGCUAAUACCGCAUAAUAUUAAUUAUUGCAUGAUAAUUAAUUGAAAGGUGCAAUUGCACCACUACCAGAUGGACCUGCGUUGUAUUAGCUAGUAGGUGAGGUAACGGCUCACCUAGGCGACGAUACAUAGCCGACCGGAGAGGGGGAUCGGCCACACUGGGACUGAGACACGGCCCAGACUCCUACGGGAGGCAGCAGUAGGGAAUCUUCGGCAAUGGACGAAAGUCUGACCGAGCAACGCCGCGUGAGUGAAGAAGGUUUUCGGAUCGUAAAGCUCUGUUGUAAGAGAAGAACGGGUGUGAGAGUGGAAAGUUCACACUGUGACGGUAUCUUACCAGAAAGGGACGGCUAACUACGUG
rnacentral:rRNA from 1 species